rnacentral:lncRNA from 1 species
GGAAGGUGCUGGCCCUGCUCUACGUGCCGGCGCUCUACUCGCCCCUGCUGGCCUGCGCCGGCCCCCGGCACCGCCUGGGCUACGCUGCGGGGACCCUGCUGGCCUGGGGACACUGCGGGGCGCACGCCUGGCAGCGCGCCCAGUGUCCCCUGGCGCCCCAGAUCCACCGCCUGUACUCGCUGCUGUCCCACGUCCCCGUGCUGCUGUCCCUGGCCCUGCUCAGCCUCUGGUACCCGGCUCAGCUCCUGCGCAGCCUCCGCAACGGGGACGGCCCCGAGCCGCCGAUUUCCGAGAAAAGCUAUUACAGGAAGUACCUCAAGGCCUUGCUGUCCAAACGAGCUCAGAAGGGGAGGUAAGGAUGGACAUUCCCAUUCCUAGAAAAUCCCAUUCCCGGCAAAUCCCAUUCCCAAAGGUCAGGAAUGUCGCCCUCUCCCACCUCCCGCAGCUCCAAGAUCGAUGAGAGCCUUGGCUCCCGGAUCCGCUCCUACCUGCGCUCCUACGUCUACAUUCCCG